CUGCUCAGGAGUGGAGUUCUCCCUUUGGGUCCAUCCAUAAACCGCUGGCAGGAAAUGCCCAGCGGGGAGCUGAGCUGGUAGCCGACGCCUCUCACCUCCACCCCGCCAGCCGCCAGACCUGAGCUCUCCACUCCCGGAAGGAGCUCUGUGCUUCCCUGUCCUGGGCCUGGGCGCACGGCCUUCGCGUGGCCCCCAGCCCUGGCCUGUGCAGCCCAGGUGCGUGGCGCAGCCUUAACCGGUCCUAAGCUUCUUGUCUGGGCUAACUCUUGGCCGAGGAGAGAUGAAAUCAGGAGAAAAGACUGGAAGGCAUCGGUGUGGCUUCCCUUUUCUUCCUAAGGGGGUAGAAGUAGUAUUGAGUCUGCUGCCUCAGUUUACCCACUCCCUCUUCUGGGGAGAACUGUGGUAACCUCAGUGUUGCUAGACCCCUCCUAGCUCCUCUUUCUCUCCCAGCACAGACUUUUCAUUUUUUUCACCUGGAGCCCUGGAUUCCAGCCACCAGACCUUGUUACCUUAACAAGCUUCAUUCCAUGCAAAUAGGACAGUUUAAAACAGCCAGUGUAACCUCGCAGACAGCUGCCAUUCCAGCGCAGUCCACCUGGGGAGUGUGGUUAGGGCAUUUUGCAGAGCCAAGAGGGUACUUAUGCGUGGUACUGAGCCUCCUACUGAACAGCACACUUUGAAAGCCCGUGAGACAAGUCAGCAAGUGCAUGGCUGUCUCGUUGGCUAAGGAUUGUCAGUCCACCUUUGGAGAGGAGGAAACUGAGGCUCUGGGGCAGGGUUCAACAGUUUACCCAGGAAGCCCCGGAAAUCAAGUGGAGCCAGGUGUAGGAGCCUCUGGUUCCAGUUAGUCUCACUGGGCCUUCAGUAGAUGUCGAACCUCAGACUGUGUUUCUCUCUUGAGUGGAGCCAUAAAAACACUCCUGCCCUGUGCACCUGUGACCACUGAAGAGCUUUUGCAAGAGAGCAGGACCGAGUUCGAUGGUGGAGGAUGCGGCCUCAAGCACAGUCCUUCCCGCUGCUCGCUCUGCUCAGUAACUGGCCUGUGUAGGAACUGAAUCCAUGACCUUCGCCACCUUAGUGUGAGUUCAGACCAACCAAGGCAUUCGCACCUGCUUGGUGUCCUUGUAAAGCAAGGUUCAGUUCUUCAAAGCCUUUGGGUGACUUAGGGAGGAGCAUCUAACCACAGUACUUUGUGGGUCUUCUACGGGAAGACUUUUGUCUUUUUGUGAGACUGUUUGACAGCUCCUCAAAAAGUUAAACUUGGAAUCGCUAUGUAACCCAGCAGAUCCAUUCCUAGGAAUAGGUUCCAAAGAGUUGAAAAUAGAAAUCCAAACAAAAAUUUCAUCCAUUUCAGGAAUCCGUGGUUCUGGCAAGUUGUCCUAACUAUGGACCCCAACAAGGAGAGAGACAAGAGGGAGCACUGCUUACUGGUCUACAACCCUGUCCUCCAACAGUCUGUAAUGCAUCUCCCAGGAAGCGAUUGAUGAUGCCUUCGGCCAUGUCACGAGGAAGGAAUAUGGCCCUGAGCAGAGGCUGGCACUUUGAUACUGGACUUCCUAGCCUUCAAAAUUACGAGAAGUCCAUUUCCGUUUUUUAAAACAAAGUUAUAGCAACAUAAAACAAGCGGAGUCAAGAAUCAAGAAAGAUGUGUCCACUUCACAGGCGCCUGCCACCACAGACUCACUCACUUCUGGUCAUCGCUCCUGACCAGCCAGACUGAUCCAAGGCAUCAGCCCAUGCGCAGUCACUGUCCUCUGCCAGGAUUUGCUGAGCGCCUGGUCCUUCUUAGCAGCAGCCCACUGUGCAGUGUACACUUGGUGCCUAUCAAAGCUUGCCUGGGCGUUUUGGAAAGUGUAAGACCAACCCCCCUUCCGGUGUAGAGAAAAGAAAUUCCUAAUAGGUAUCAAGCAAGGAGCCUAACUCUUCAGACAACGCGGACACAUGCGUCUCCUGUCAAGGGCCUUAUAAUUUACCAUGCAAACUGGAACACCGAGAGUGAGAGGGGACGCCACGAAUGACGAGGGAAAAGUGAGCCAAGCCAGACCUGUGGCAGGAGCCCCGUCUACACUGCUGCCUGAUGUACAGCUGGAUCACGCCAUUUGGUCCUGGAAGGCAGUGUGUGCCGUCUACUUGUGGCGCCCUCCUUGUUUACCUAGAAAAGUGGCUGUGAUCUCAGCAAUGGACCACGCAGUCAUGUCAGUGACAGAGCGAGGAGGCAUUAAAGCCAUGGCGUCUAGAAAAUGCCCCAUCUUAACAGAUGUGCAUCGUGCAACUCUUUAUAAAUGAUAAGGUCAGUAGCGCGAGGCCGAGGCCUUGUGUAAUCUGGCCUCUGACUUGUUCAAAUCCUGUAUACCCCGUAUACACUACCCCUCUUUCCCAGCUCAGGGACUUUUUCUUUGCUUACCUCUUGCCUCUGCCCAGUGAUUCUUCCCCUGGCUCUCUGCUUCUGCUUCCUUUCCAUCCCUCCAUUUUAACAUUUAACACCAAUUUAUUGCCUGGCAUCCGGUGGCCACUGACCACAGUUUUGGUUAUUUAUUUAUUUGCUCAUUUGGAAUAUUGAGUACGUGGAAGGAUUUAUGAGAUAAGUCCCCAGGAGCUUGGCUCAGACGUGAAGGUCUUUAAACUCCUGUUACUGAGGUCUCCAGGGCGAUCCUGCUUACUCUGCCUCGUGUAGGAUUUCAUGGAAUGUCCAAGAAUAGAUGCCCCUUUCUUGAGCUAAUCAGAUUAUUUCUGUUGCACGCGGCAGAAUGCCCUGGCGGAAACAGAACCGGCCCCACCUGCACGGACCCGGGGCCUGAGGAUGGCAGGGUCUGUGGCCCGUUCUUGUUUCUCUUCUCCUUUCUGGUGCUCUGUUGAUUCUUUUUUAAAGAGUGUGGGAUUCUCUGAGCAAACUCAUCUCCCUUAGCCCCGACAACAGUCUUGCUUCUCUCGUUAAAAUCCUCCUCAUGCUCAGCCUUCUCCAGGAAUUCUCGUCACAUCUUGAUUUUGCAUAGCACACUCGCGGUUCUCCUCUCCUGUUCUGGCAGCAGCUCCGCCGAGUGGAUUGGGCACAGGAAUCUGCAUUUGGCCGAUGAAGCCAAGGAAGUUUAACCACAGGCUUCUCUGAGGACCACGGCCUGCCUCUUCCCUGCACUGAGCUGAGAGGACGAGCUGAGGACAGGACUCGGGUGCGCCCACGCGUGGCCCAGUUUCUCUCUGACUCAGUCUGGGACGUCGUUGCAGCCUGGCUCCGGACCUGGAGGCAGCCCCAGGUUGGGUGAGAACGCCAUCCCACAGGCUUCCAGGAAUCCACGGGGGAUGUGUGGGAAGGCGAGGCCUCGGAACCAGCUCGUGGUGGCUUCCUUGGUCUGGGAGGCGGCGACCGAGAAACCCUGAUGCUUUCUGGAGUCAGUGUGUGGCCGCCUCCGGGAUCCAGGCAGUGGUCCGUGGAUGUACAACGUUAGAGGCCUGUUUCUGAGCAGUUUUGUCCUGACAGGCACAUCUCAGGCUGGUGCCAGCGUUUCCUAAGUGAUACGGAAUCCCCAGGAGACACUGUUGAAAUGCAGAGGCCCAGGCCCUACUCCUGACCAACCAGAAUCCCUGAAUAUCCACAUGUGCAGUGGCGGUCUGAGAGAGCCUGGUGCAGGGCUGAGAGCACCAGGGCAGGUGCUCAGAAUCUCCGAGCAGGUGCCAUGCAGGUCGUUGCCAGGAGUCCUCGAGCCUUGGGCAAGCAGUGCCUCUCUCCCGGAAGCUGUCUGUCUCCGGGUCUCCCCUGCCCCUCCGCCAAGAAUCCACGGGGAAUCGCCCUCCCUCGCUGCAGACGGAGGCUGUGUUCAUUCAGAUCGUCACGGAGCUUUCCCGACUAAAAAGAGGCUAAACAAGCUGGCGUGAAAGCGGGUUUGCGAAGGGGAGCCUACGAGAAUGAAACGCGGCAGUGAUUCUGGUGGGUUCUGUGCUCCGACACCAUGCUGAGUUCUUAACGACCACCUAUAAGGAAGAGGCCGCUGGUAGCAUAACCAUUUCUCAGAUCAGAAAACUGAGGCUGUUACCCACCCAUGGUUCUACAACGAACAAGGGGCCGGAUGUAGACUCAGGUCAAGAGAGCUCGGUGGUACUUUCUGAACUGUGGUCAGGACUUACCUCCUCACUGCCAAACUCCACCCAGCCUCCUACCGAGUCGGGAUUAUGGGCUGCAUCACGAUUCCUCGCUUGCACCAGGGUUUGUAGCCUCACCACCCGGAGGAACCUGCAACGUCCCGUUCAGGCCCGUGGUUCGCUCCUCUCUGUACACACACCUCUAGUCUCAGGGAUGGCCAGGUGGGAAGGGGACAUCAGCCAGUUUGUGGACUUCAGAAUGCUGGCCUGGGAAGGGACCCGAGAGUCCGUGCUUCACCAAACACACUCGCUGUACCGACAAUGGAGCCGAGACCUGGGGUAGGAAGCGACUUGCCCCCCCGUGACCCAGAUGGAGGGUGAUUUGUUUGUGUUUUCACAGGUGAGCAUGCGACCAUGGGGGAUGGUCAGCAAACAUUUAUUGAAUGCAUUAAACUGUGGCAUUUGAUUUAUCCGUCCAAGGGGGACAUCAAGAAAACAAACGAGCGUUACCUCUGAUGCCUCUGCUGUGAGUGCUUCCGAACUCGCCAUGAGGUGAAAACCUCGGCCAUGAAGCUUUUCUUCAAUCUUGUGUUCCUUCUCCACGAAAAUGAUCACAAACUUGGCAACUGGCUCUUCCAAAAUUAAUAAUCGGAGCUUAAAGACGUUUCUUUGGUCACUUCAACAACUCAAAGCAGAAAGAAACCAGACACUUCCCACAGCACCUCUUCCUCUCCCUUCCGAGCCUGCGCUGCAGAACAGCUGUGUCUUUUUAGAAUUGAUUCUGAUCUCCCAGGAGGGAUCGUGUUUCUCUGCACUGGGAGCCGAUGCCCCAAGAUGGCGCAUGCGGCUUGGCCAAGGUGUCGGGGUCCUGCUGAAGCUGGGGUGAUGGAUUGGCAGGGGUGCCUUUCCUCAGGACGCAGUGCCAGGACACGUAGCUGCCUUCGCUGUGGUGGGCUGGACGUUCUGCUGCCUUAGGAAUCAUUUAGCGUUUCUCCUUGCCGCUCUGUGGCUGCCUGGAUAUUGCUCCUGGUGCCCUCGCCCCCUGCUACUAGUGUCACCCUCUGUCCUUUGUCUGUGACUUCGCGGCUCCUCUCUCGAGUUUGCUGAGUUUCCCGGUCCUGCUCUUGUUAACCUUGACUGUGGGACUUGCUUUGGCCACCAGGGUGUGAGUGGGCCUGGUGCAAACCAGGCCUUAGAUGUAUUCACAGUCCAUGGCCUGGCCCCGUUCUCUGAUCUUGUAAAAGACAGGGGCCGUAAAACCGAGCCAGCACCGCUGUCCGGAGCCAAACCACACCUUCGCCAUGCAGACUCAUGAGAGAGAAAACUGAGUGAUGUUGUAGGUCACUGAGAUUUGGAGGCUGCAUGUAGCUCAGCAAAAACCAAUUAUCACGUUAUGGAAAUAGUGACCAGGAUUGAAACAGGUCUCCCACUUCUCCCGGUGGCUCUCUGGUGGGCUCUGCAUCUGAAAAUAUGUUUUAAAAAAUUCAACUGGAAAUAUGUUUUUAAAAAUUCAGGUUUCCAAAACCAAAAUUUGAAAUCCCUAAACAAAAUAGUACAAUGAUUUGCAUAGUGUUUACAUUGCACUGGGUAUAAUCCAGGGACGGUGUAAACUACAUAGGAGGACUGUGUGGAUUAUGUGCAAAUAUCACUCAUACAGGGACUCAAGCUUCCCCAGGUUUCAGGGUCUGGACAGGAUGCUCCUGGAUGUGAUGGCUGCAUCUAGAUCUCCCCGCUAGGCCUCCGCUUUUUCAGAGCUGGGUGAUGGAUUCCCGGUGCAGUGCAAGACUGCGGGCACUAGGAUUAAGGGUGUGAAUUCUCAUCAUAAGUAGUCCAACUAGGACGAAAGGGGCAGGGAGGCCUUUUUAAGGUCCCUUGUUACUCUGGCUGUCGUCCACCUCCAGGAGCUGUUGCUCCUCUUCCAUGUGCCCCCCUGCCUUGGAGCCAGCUGAUUAUGGACUGAAACCUCUACAA